UACAGAGGUCUCAAGCGUUGUUCGGAUUCAUUGGGCGUAAAGGGUGCGUAGGCGGCGCGGUAAGUCGGAUGUGAAAUCUCGGAGCUUAACUUCGAAACUGCAUUCGAUACUGCCGUGCUUGAGGACUGGAGAGGAGACUGGAAUUUACGGUGUAGCGGUGAAAUGCGUAGAUAUCGUAGGGAAGACCAGUGGCGAAGGCGGGUCUCUGGACAGUUCCUGACGCUGAGGCACGAAGGUCAGGGGAGCAAACGGG
rnacentral:rRNA from 1 species